rnacentral:misc_RNA from 1 species
GAUGAAGAACGCAGCGAAAUGCGAUAAGUAAUGUGAAUUGCAGAAUUCAGUGAAUCAUCGAAUCUUUGAACGCACAUUGCGCCCGCCAGUAUUCUGGCGGGCAUGCCUGUUCGAGCGUCAUUACAACCCUCAGGCCCCCGGGCCUGGCGUUGGGGAUCGGCGGAGCCCCCCGUGGGCACACGCCGUCCCCCAAAUGCAGUGGCGGUCCCGCCGCAGCUUCCAUCGCGUAGUAGCUAACACCUCGCGACUGGAGAGCGGCGCGGCCACGCCGUAAAACACCCAACUCUUCUGAAGUUGACCUCGAAUCAGGUAGGAAUACCCGCUGAACUUAAGCAUAUCAAUAAGCGAGGA